AAAGGAAUAGACGGGGGCCCGCACAAGCGGUGGAGUAUGUGGUUUAAUUCGACGCAACGCGAAGAACCUUACCAGGACUUGACAUUGAUUGACGUCCAUAGAGAUAUGGAUUUCUUCUUCGGAAGACAAGAAAACAGGUGGUGCAUGGUUGUCGUCAGCUCGUGUCGUGAGAUGUUGGGUUAAGUCCCGCAACGAGCGCAACCCCUGUACUAUGUUGCCAGCAAGCAAGAUGGGAACUCAUAGUAGACAGCCGCAGAUAAUGCGGAGGAAGGCGGGGAUGACGUCAAAUCAUCAUGCCCCUUAUGUUCUGGGCUACACACGUACUACAAUGGGCUUAAAUAGAGGGAAGCGAAGUCGCGAGGCGGAGCAAACCCCAAAAACAAGCUCUCAGUUCGGAUUGCAGGCUGCAACUCGCCUGCAUGAAGUCGGAAUCGCUAGUAAUCGCAGGUCAGCAUACUGCGGUGAAUACGUUCCCGGGCCUUGUACACACCGCCCGU
rnacentral:rRNA from 1 species